UCAGAAGGUGAAAGCCCUGUACCGGUAAACUGAUGAGCCUUCAAGUAGACUCAGUCUCGUGAAACCUGGGUCGAAGACGGGGGGACCACCCUCCAAGGCUAAGUACUCCUGGACGACCGAUAGCGAAUCAGUAAGGCGACUGAAAGAUGACAAGCACCCCGACGAGGGGAGUGAAAGAGUACCUGAAACCGUGCGCUUACAAGCGGUCGGAGCUCGCAAGAGUGACGGCGUGCUUUUUGCAUAAUGAGCCGGCGAGUUAGUCUGUACGGCGAGCCUAAGGCCUAGCGGGCCGGAGGCGGAGCGAAAGCGAGUCUGAAUAGGGCGUUGAGUCGUACGGGCUAGACGCGAAACCUUGUGAUCAACCCUCGAGCAGGCUGAAGUGCGGGUAAAACCGCAUGGAGGGCCGAACGGGUGACCGUUGAAAAGGUCUCCGAUGACUUGAGGGGAGGAUUAAAAGUAUAAUCAAACUGGGAGAUAGCUCGUUCUCUCCGCAAUAACUUUAGGGUUAGCCUCGGGUGGCAAGCGAUGGGGGUAGAGCUACUGGAUGAGGCGUCGGGCCUAACCGGCUACGACCCUCAACCAAACUCCGAAUACCAUUGCCCAAGACCCGGGAGAUAGACGGUGAGUGACAAUAUCCAUCGUCAAAAGGAGAACAAUCCAGACCACCAGCUAAGGUCCCGAAUCUACGCUUAGUUCGAAAGGAAGUCAGAUUGCAGUGACAGCCGGGAUGUUGGCUUAGAAGCAGCCACCAUUUAAAGAGUGCGUAACAGCUCACCGGUCGAGGAGUCUGGCGCCGAUAAUGAUCGGGAAUAAGCGUGGAGCCGAAGCUGUGGGCCCAGCAGCAAUGCUGGGCGGUAGGAGAGCGUAGUUGAUGCUGUGAAGCGGCUCGGGAACGGGUCGUGGAGCGUCCACUAGUGCAUAUGCCGGCUUAAGUAACGAUUAACACGGUGAAAAUCCGUGUCGCCGAAUGCCUAAGGUUUCCUGGGGAAGGUAAAUCCGCCCAGGGUUAGCCGGGUCCUAAGGUGAGGCCGAAAGGCGUAGCCGAUGGAAAUCAGGUCAAUAUUCCUGAGCCAAUGCCCAAUAUGGUGACGGAUCUCCAAGAUCUGCGGGACUGCUAGAUGUCCAGGCCCUCGAGGCCGAUGCAGGUGGAGGAGGUCACGAGAAAAACCGGGCUUGCCCGUACUAAAACUGACACAGGUAGGCGAGGCGAAUAGCCUCAGGCGCUCGAGAGAACGGUCGUGAAGGAACUAGGCAAUUUAACCCCGUACGUUCGCAAGAAGGGGGCCCUCGUCGUCAGACAGGGCGCAGAGAAAAGGGUCUGGGAACUGUUUAUCAAAAACACAGCUCUGUGCUAACUCGGAAGAGGAUGUAUACAGAGUGACGCUUGCUCAAUGCCGGAAUGUCACGGAAGCGGGUCAUCGCAAGAGAAGCCCGCGACUCAAGCACCGGUGAAUAGCGGCCGUAACUAUGACGGUCCUAAGGUAGCGAAGUUCCUUGUCGGGUAAGUUCC
rnacentral:rRNA from 1 species